AUGGCCGACGCGGGUCAAAGUGUAGUAUCUGUUCUUAUCAGCCUAAUAUCUGAUAUGGGUUAUAUUUGGACCUAAUAUAUUCAACUUAUUUUUGCAAGUUGGCGGAGUGCUUGAAGUCUGUUUCACCUCUGCCGCGAGUCGGCACGGUAUUGUACUAUCUUCGGGAUUUUUGGUCUAUAUAC